GCUCUUAUAGCUCAGUUGGUAGAGCGCGACACUAGUAUCAUCUUCUCAAGAUACUGGAUCAUGUCGAGGUCAGAGGUUCGAAUCCUCUUGAGAGCA